rnacentral:misc_RNA from 1 species
GAUGAAGAACGCAGCGAAAUGCGAUAAGUAAUGUGAAUUGCAGAAUUCAGUGAAUCAUCGAAUCUUUGAACGCACAUUGCGCCCCCUGGUAUUCCGGGGGGCAUGCCUGUCCGAGCGUCAUUACAACCCUCAAGCUCAGCUUGGUGUUAGGCCCCGCCGCCCCGGCGGGCCCUAAAGUCAGUGGCGGUGCCGUCCGGCUCCGAGCGUAGUAAUUCUUCUCGCUCUGGAGGUCCGGUCGUGUGCUCGCCAGCAACCCCCAAUUUUUUUCAGGUUGACCUCGGAUCAGGUAGGGAUACCCGCUGAACUUAAGCAUAUCAAUAAGCGGAGGA